GAUGAAGAACGUAGCGAAAUGCGAUAAGUAGUGUGAAUUGCAGAAUUCCGUGAAUCAUCGAAUCUUUGAACGCACAUUGCGCCUUCUGGUAUUCCGGAAGGCAUGCCUGUUCGAGAGUCAUUAACAACCGUUUCGAUCCCUUUCUUUCAGAAAUUACAAAGAGGAAAAGGGUUUGGUUAUGGUGGAGGAGGGAAAGGGAGCGUUUAGCCUGUAAAAAAAGAGGCUGUGUUCCGCCUCCCCCCCAAAAUUGUACAGGCGGUCGUGUGCGCCCACGCAUCGAGGUGUUGUAAAAGCUGCCACGGCACUUUUCACCUGUGCAGUGCGAGAUUGGCCAGCCGGUUUAAAAACCCCUCCAAACAAUCAAGGUUGACCUCGGAUCAGGUAGGGAUACCCGCUGAACUUAAGCAUAUCAAUAAGCGGAGGA
rnacentral:misc_RNA from 1 species